UAAAGCACUUUUAGUGGGGACAAAAAGCUACGGAUUAAUACUCUGUGGUCUUGAUUUAACCCAAAGAAAAAGCACCGGCUAACUCUGUGCCAGCAGCCGCGGUAAUACAGAGGGUGCGAGCGUUAAUCGGAAUUACUGGGCGUAAAGCGCGCGUAGACGGUUUUGUAAGUCAGAUGUGAAAUCCCUGGGCUCAACCUGGGAACUGCAUUUGAGACUGCAUGGCUAGAGUAUCGAAGAGGGAAGUGGAAUUUCCGGUGUAGCGGUGAAAUGCGUAGAUAUCGGAAGGAACACCAGUGGCGAAAGCGACUUCCUGGUCGAAUACUGACGUUCAUGUGCGAAAGCGUGGGGAGCAAACAGGAUUAGAUACCCUGGUAGUCCACGCCAUAAACGAUGACAACUAGAUGUUGGGAGGGUCUGCCUCUCGGUGUCGCAGCUAACGCGUUAAGUUGUCCGCCUGGGGAGUACGGCCGCAAGGUUGA
rnacentral:rRNA from 1 species